GACGAACGCUGGCGGCGUGCCUAACACAUGCAAGUCGAACGGAAAGGCGCUGCUUUUGCGGGGUGCUCGAGUGGCGAACGGGUGAGUAACACGUGAGUAACCUGCCCUUGUAUUUGGGAUAACUUCAGGAAAAUGGGGAUAAUACAGGAUAGGAGAUCUUGAUGCAUGGUGGGGGUUGGAAAGUUUCGGCGGUUGGGGAUCGACGCGCGGCUUAUGAGCUGGUUGGUGGAGUAGUGGCUUACCAAGGCUUUGACGGGUAGCCGGCCUGGGAGGGUGACCGGCCACAUUGGUACUGAGAGACGGACCAGACGCGUACGGUCGGCAGCAGUGGAGAAUAUGGCGCAGUGAGCCGAAGCCUGAUGCAGCGGCGCCGCGUUCGUGAUGACGGCCUUCGGGUUAUAAACCGCUUUCGCCUGUGACGUAGCGGGAGUGACGGUAAUGAAUAAAGAAGCACCGGCUAACUACGUG
rnacentral:rRNA from 1 species